GCCCGGCUAGCUCAAUCGGUAGAGCGUGAGACUCUUAGUCAUCACGUCCUAGCAGACACGAUUAUUCAGUACAUCUCAAGGUUGUGGGUAUGUCUUCUCUCUCAUACUUCUUAUAUAUUAUCUCAGGACAUCCCGCUAACCCUUAAUAGGUUCGACCCCCACGUCGGGCU
rfam:Pyrenophora tritici-repentis Pt-1C-BFP supercont1.11 genomic scaffold, whole genome shotgun sequence.